GUAGCCAUUAACUCUCCAUGGACCGUGACUUCCAUUUCCCAUCAGCUUUGAAUUAUUCAGUCUGGGACUGAACUGAACUGAAAGGACUUGCAUCUGAGACAGGCUGAUGGGGACGCAAACAGAGAUGAUGGGUUUACCCAGAUGGGCGAGGAAUUGUGGACCAGUCCUGCAAGGAAACUCCAGUGACCAGACUGAUUCAGCGGAGGUACAACCAGCAUUACUUUCAGGGUCGGUGACUUAUCACAACCUUGGAGCCGGCUUAACUCCAGAAAAAGUGCGAAUGGGCAGAGCACCAAGGUGUCUGCCCCAUGAAUGAGGCUGGAUGAGCAAAGGUGUCGUCACGCGAACCAGACUGAGCAGGAGAAGGGCUCUGACCAUGGCAGGACCUCGGAAGCUGCAGCCUCCUCCCUCUGCGGUGCGGGCUGUCAGCACUGCACCAAAGCCACGCUGCCUGUGGAUUUCCUGUAUUCUUCAUCUGCUUUUGAAAGCCCGUCAAAAGCUACCAUAGGUAAAAGAACUGCGGGAAGCCACAAUUUGGGAAGUUUUCAGAGCCGCUUGCAGCUCUUUUUGCCCGCUGCCAUGCCUGACAACUUGAACUGGUGGAAUUAUUCAUUGGAAAUAAAGCAUUUGAGGAAUUUAGCUAUUGAUUGUUAUGAAUGAUUUAUGUAUUAUUUAUACUGCUGUAGCCUCUAAUGGCUCCUCACGGGUCGGGGCUGUGCCGCGUUAAGCUGUGCACAUAACUGCACUAACGCAGCAUCUUCAGUCAAGGCCAGCAAAACGGGCAGGGGCGGUGGGGACGGGGAGCAUGGGACAGGUGAAGCAAUCUUGGCUGGGGUGGCGAGUGGCUGUCACAGCACAACCUGCCCUGCUGUUAGCAAGCGAUUUGUAGGCGUCUCGUCAUAGGUGAAUUGUAAUGAGAUAUUUGGAAGAGAACAACAGCCUUUUGCAUUCCUCCCAUGGGCAGCGCGGUAACGUGCCAAAACAGAAGGAGAAAGCUUGCUGGAAAAUGUAACUGAUGGGCAGCAAAAGCUGGCAGUAUCGAGAGAGCAGAAGGUGGGUUUGAUAUGUUUUACCCUGUCUGCAGGCAGGUUCCCUUUGUUGAGCUGCCUGUCUCUCGUGCUGGCCCGUUAAGUGCCGAAGUCCAUCUGCACUCCCUCACACGUGUUUUAGCCUAGAGGCUGGCUUGCAAAAUCAGGCUGAUGUAUUUUAACAGCCGGUUGUUCAGUCUGCAG
rnacentral:lncRNA from 1 species